AGAGCGAACGCUGGCGGCAGGCCUAACACAUGCAAGUCGAGCGCCCCGCAAGGGGAGCGGCAGACGGGAGAGUAACACGUGGGAACGUACCCUUCAGUUCGGAACAACCCAGGGAAACUUGGGCUAAUACCGAAUACGUCCGUAAGGAGAAAGAUUUAUCGCUGAAGGAUCGGCCCGCGUCUGAUUAGCUAGUUGGUGGGGUAAUGGCCCACCAAGGCGACGAUCAGUAGCUGGUCUGAGAGGAUGAUCAGCCUCAUUGGGACUGAGACACGGCCCAGACUCCUACGGGAGGCAGCAGUGGGGAAUAUUGGACAAUGGGCGCAAGCCUGAUCCAGCCAUGCCGCGUGAGUGAAGAAGGCCUUAGGGUUGUAAAGCUCUUUCAGCGGGGAAGAUAAUGACGGUACCCGCAGAAGAAGCCCCGGCUAACUUCGUGCCAGCAGCCGC
rnacentral:rRNA from 1 species